rnacentral:tRNA from 2 species
CUCUAGGUAGCUUAAAAAAAGCUUCAGCCUCUUGAUCUGAAGAUAGGAACAUUUUCCUCCUAGAGG